GUGUUGUAUGAAAGGAGAGAAGGUUAGCCCUCCCCUUGACAAAAA
rnacentral:snRNA from 1 species